UUUAGGCCCGCAACCCAUUAGAGAGAGGAGACCUACGCCCACUCCCCUCUCUCUCAAACUAUCACACUCCCUCUCUCUUCUCUCUCUCUCUUAAUGGGCACCUCUCUCUCUCUCUCUCUCUCUCCUCUUUAUCUUCACAGAUGCUUGAAUCCUCCCCCUGCCUCACAAAAAGAUACGCAAAGACGACCCAGUUCUUCCCCAUCUCCACUCAUUUACACUAUGAUCUAUCUCAUAGCCAACAUCCGAAGCAAGAGAACUCGAGGUCUGAGGAUAUAGAUCCACACUAGGUUUCUUCAUUCAGAAGGGGGAGAUCGAAGUCUGGUGAUACAUAUCCAAGUGGGGGCUUUUUAUCUCCAUUCAGGUUUGGACAUGUUGGAUCCCGGAGCCAGGCAGAGGAACCGAGCUUGCAAGGUCUAUUUCAAAUUGGACUUGCCAGAAGGUGGGUUCCUCACGGGCGCACGGAGAUUAGAAGCCCCCGCUUAAUAGCAAUAUAUGUCAAUUUUCCAAAUUGGAAAAGGUGCCACGUAUUAGACAUGCGGAGGGUGAUAUUGUCAGUGCUGAGAUGCCUUUUCAAAGGUUCAAGAUUGGUUUCUCCUGAAUAAAACAAUGCACAAGUUUAUCGAACGGUGGCCAUUGCUAUGUUUCUAUCACCUCUUUAUUCUCAUAAUUUUGUUUAUAUAGUGUUGAUUGUGGUAUCUUCGUGAUCAAGUACACGGACAUGUGGAGUGUCAAUGCUAAGCUAGUGGAUGAGUCCUCUCAAGAUGAUAUUGAGAACAUUUGACUUCAAAUUAUCAAUGAUUUGUUGCUUAGUCAACAUAAUGUUGUAGACAUAAGUGCAACUAAGAAUUAGUAUGUUUGAAUUCACGUGCUGAUGUGUUGUGAUUUGUUACACAUAAACACAAUACCUGCAAUCAAACCGCGGUUUCAUUUUUU